rnacentral:rRNA from 1 species
CACGAACGACUCUCGGCAACGGAUAUCUCGGCUCUCGCAUCGAUGAAGAACGUAGCGAAAUGCGAUACUUGGUGUGAAUUGCAGAAUCCCGUGAACCAUCGAGUCUUUGAACGCAAGUUGCGCCCCAAGCCAUCAGGCCGAAGGGCACGUCUGCCUGGGUGUCACGCAU